rnacentral:rRNA from 1 species
UGGGAACGUGCCUUUUGGUUCGGAACAACACAGGGAAACUUGUGCUAAUACCGGAUAAGCCCUUACGGGGAAAGAUUUAUCGCCAAAAGAUCGGCCCGCGUCUGAUUAGCUAGUUGGUGGGGUAAUGGCCUACCAAGGCGACGACGGGUAGCCGGCCUGAGAGGGCGACCGGCCACACUGGGACUGAGACACGGCCCAGACUCCUACGGGAGGCAG